AAAUUAAAAGAAAAGAUAAAAAUGUUUUUAGACAUAUUUGUGGAUUAUCCUUUCACCUGCGAUAUCCACAAGAUAGAAUUAAGAAAUGUUUUUGAAAACAUUACAAUAAAUAUUUUGGUAUAUAGUUGGUGCCGCUCAAUUAAUCGAAUUUUAUCAGGUAAAAUCCAAUAUCGUGAUGAGGAUGAUGAAACUAAACUUUCAGCACAAAUUUAUUACAAUAAACAUAAACAUAAGUAAAUAUGAUUUUUAUUUAAUUCCAGGUCGCCUACUAAGUACUUUCUAAAUGUUCCUACAUAACGUUGUUCUGUUGAGUUGUAGUAAUCUGUGUUGUAUUUCCAUAUUUCAAUAAAUAACUAUUUUCUACAUUCUGUGGCUAUAUUUUGUAAGUACGUACGUAUGAACAAAUUCCCCUAGAAUAUCUAUAGACGGUUAUUCGUCAUCUCGACACACUAAACUCACCACGAAUGUGUCGAGUUGGUGAAACUCAAAAUUUGUACAUUUAUCAUGUCGUCAACUCGCCACGUCAAGAUUUUAAUUCGUGUCCAGUUAGUGAAACUUAGAUUUUAUCACUUUUAUGUUUUCGCCAAGUUUGGGAAUCAACUUUUCGCGUUUCAAACGUUUGCAAAAUGGACGUUCAGUGGCCGAUGAUGUUUGUGACACAAUGUAUCCAGUUGGCGAAAACAUAAAAGUGAUAAAAUCUAAGUUUCACUAACUGGACACGAAUGAAAAUCUUGAGUGGCGAGUUGACGACAUGAUAAAUGUACAAAUUUCGAGUUUCACCAACUCGACACUUUAAUGGUGAGUUUAGUCUGUCGAGAUGACGAAUAACCUGUAGACAAUACUGAUGUAUACAUGUGUGUGAAAUGGGAUGUACGCACACAUAAACAAUUUGUUUCGGCAGACGAUACCAGAUGGCGCUUCAAAAAUCGUUUGAAGGUUGCAGAAAAAAAUCGAAGUGGGUUCUCUAUUCCCAAUCUAUUUACUAUACUCUAUGAUAGUGACGUAUCGGAGCUUGUGUCUUGUGAACGUGUGUCAGUGCUCAUGAAAAUCGCCGUAAGCUGUCUUAUGACCAUACUUUGGAAUAAAAAUGUGUGACAGAUUUAAGGACAGCAGGGGCAAAAAGUUACUUCAACUUUUAAAUUCUGAAAGUGACGAAAAUAAAGAAAAUUGUGAUUCAAUAUUAAGAAGAACAAUAAAUAAAAAAUGUUUUUUGUGUUA